ensembl:lncRNA LINC01019 long intergenic non-protein coding RNA 1019
GCACUGGCAGAGACGCAGAAGGGAAAGUGUCCAGCGAUGAGAGAUACCGGCCAGGGGGCAAAUCUUCAGCUUGCAGCACUCACUUUGCAGAUCCAGUUGGAAUUAUUUGUGUUGACGCUCUCUGCUCUCUCCGCUCUCCCCUGGAAAUGACGAGGAACUGAGUACAGUGGACAAUGGCUUCCGUGUCCCUAGCUCCCCCCGAGCCAUGAGCUGCUACAUCAAAAGUCUGCAGUGGGCUGCCCUUCCCAUAAUAUUUCAAUUUAAGCACCGACUUGCUGCUGCGGAGUCAUAUCUCAUUCAUGCUGCAGCCUUUGCAGGAGUCAGGGAUCAUUAUGGAGCAAGCACUGAGAAAAAACAGAUUACAGCUUGGCACCGAGCAGCCAGGUUGCACCCCAGAUGCUUCAGGGACAUGGUGCCUGCUCUGGAGAAUGGGGCAGCUUCCACACUGCCCAGGAGCCAGGGCUUCUGACCCAGGAGCGAAAGUCUGUCUCUUCCAUUUCUGGGAGCUGGCAGUAUUUGCACGACUUUCUGGGCCUCAGGCAUCCCAUUGCCCACCAGGAAUUACCUUCCUCCAGGAUCAUGGUGAAGAUGACAUGAGAUGCUAAUGCUUGGCCUGCGGUUGCUAUUUUUAGUUCUCCACUUUCCUGGAAAGCAUGCAGUUGAAGUUCAUGACGGUAUUCUCUCAACGUGUGACUCAAAGACAGAGGCCGUUUCCCAUCCACCGGUUCUCACACUGCCCCAUUCUGCAGCUUCACCAUCCACGCGCUAAGAAGGCAGGCCCCAAAGUCUCAGCACCCAGCCGCUGGGGUCCUCGCUCUUAUGGACAGAAAACUCAAGAAUGAAUAUGUUUCCCCAUCUUGUGCCCUUUUGCCUGGAAACUAUACAGAGCAGGGGUCCCUGCUGGCAUUCCUUCUCUGUACUAGUACGGCUUCGGAAAGUACUGGUUCUCUGAGGAGCGCUCAGUUGCAUCUGGAAGGUGCAGUGUGCACAGCGAUGCCCCUUGACACCAAGGUGUGAGCAUUUGAGCUGUGCUGGAAGGUUCUCCAUGGAAUAGUGCCCACCCUGGAGGGUCCUGUGCCGCGCACUUGAGGAGGCUGUGGUGGUGAGGAGAGACUCUGGAGCAACCCACACUCCCGAUAAGUCAGAUAAGAGUGCCUCCUCUAGUGCUGUUGGUGUCCGCGCUGCUGCCGUCCCGGGCUGUCCAUUGUUGAAGCUGAAUGAAUCUGUGCCCUUAACUUCCCCAAACACAUCAGCAAAUCAUGUGAGCAUCAGAUGGGAGCACCUCAGUGAUAAGAUAAUGGCCCCCACAAAGAAGGCAGCAGGCGUCCUGAGAUGUCCAACGUGUCCUUUCUGUUGGUCCACACUUGAGCUACUUAAGGCUACCAGCACAUGUCCUGGCAAAACCUUUGUAGUUUUCUCCUAUAAACUAAGCAUAAAUUUCGUGGGAGAUGACAGAUUACUUCAUAUACCAUGCAAGCAAGCCCAGACAAUAGCUUUAGCCAUGACUGAUUGCCUCGCUGUAACCCACUUUGUGUUAAAUGCAUUCUUGCUGUUCAAUUCCACCACUGUAAUUUUGUUCUUCUGCAUUCCCCGGCCCUCUGCGGACUAACCAGGUUCCUUCAGUAAUGAUUUCUUUUCUAUUGUAUUGUUUUCUGCAUAAUCAAGUUGGUAGGUGGGGGUUUGGGUGACACGGCCAUCUGUCAAGUUCAUUUGCUCUGAAAAUGCAAGAAAUAAUGGCCUCUACAACUUGGGGCUAUCCGUUAUAAAAGAAGAAUAUCAGC